GAGUUGGUGGUGGCAGAGACUUAUAAACUGGUGCGGGAUUGAUAUAGCUCCUUGGGUGUGGAGGCGAUAUGUAGACUAGGGUUGGUGGAGGUGGUGACUUGUUGACUGGGUGUGUGGAGGGUAGUAAGGCUCCUUAGUAGUGGUGGCGACUUGUAAACUGUAGUCGGUAGAGGCGGUGACUUGUAGAUUGGGGUAUGAGGAGGGUAGUAUGGCUCCUUAAGUGGUUGUGGUGACUUGUAAACUGGAGUCGGCGAAGGUGGCGACUUAUAGACUGGGUGUUUGGAGGGUAGUAAGGCUCUUUGGGUGGGGGUGGCAACGUAUAAACUUGAGUUAGUGGAAGUGGUGAUUUGUAGACUGGGUGUGUGGGGGAUAGUAUGGCUCCUUAGGUAGUAGUGGUGAUUGGUAAAUAGGAGCCGGUGGAAAUGGCGACUUAUAGACUGGGUGUGUGGAGGGUAGUAAGGCUCUUUUGGUGGGGGUGACGACUUGUAAACUGGAGUUGAUGGAGGUGGCAAUUUGUAGACUGGGGUGUGUGGAGGAUAGUAUGGCUCCUUGGGUGGUGAUGGUGGUGACUAGUAAAGCGGAGUUGAAGGUGAUGGUGAUUUAUAAAGUGGUGCAGGAUGAUAAGGUGUUGGUGAAGGAUGGUAUGGCUCUUUUGGUGAUGGUGGAGAUAAAUAUUGAUAAUUUGCUGAGCUUUGGGAAGCCAAGCAAAGUGACACAAAAACCACUAAAAGAGUGGAAAAUAGAGAGGCCAUUUCUCCCAAAAAGAAACAAAGGAGAGAAGUUGUUGUCCCUUUAAGCUGCACUCAAAGCCCUUUGUAUAGCUUUCAUUUAGAAGGUAUAAGGCUAAAGUUAUGUAUUUUUAAUUAGUUUUGUCAUGUUGUCGGUUCAAUUUGACCUUUGUUGGUAUACUUUUUUUUUUUUGUUGGAUAGAAGGUGCAAGCUAAGCAAAGAAAUUAACUACUAUGGCAGCUAUACUAUUUAUGAUGCAAUAAUUCAAAAAAAAAUACGUGGAUCCCACAACUUCCCACAAGAUUUUAGUUAUAGGAAUCUGAGCACUUUUUUUUUACACUUAGGGUGUGUAUGGUACGAUGGAAAAUAUUUUCUGAAAAAUGUUGGUUGUAGUAAAAAAUAUUUUCUAAGAUAAUUCAUUUUUUCCUAUUUGAGGGAAAAUGACUUCCCUCAUGGACCAAGGGAAGUUAUUUUUCGGAAAAUGAUAAAUGUGACUUAUGCCCCCAUCCUCACCCCUCUUCCCACCCCAACAACACUCAUAUUCACAUAACUCAAAAAAUUCACAUUUUUAAAAAAUUUAUUUUACUCAAAAUAUUUUUCACUGUGCUUUGCUUCAAUUUUUCACUGCUUGAAAUAAAAAAUAGUGAAGCCCGACUUUUUUUCAUUUCCAAUGUUCGUUGAAUGUAUUGUUAUUUUCAUAUGCAUAGAGGAAGACUUACCUAUGUUACUUUUGCUAAUUGCAUAUUUUAUUUUGUCAUCGAUGUUACUUCUUUCACGAGGUUGAAUAAGCUUAUCGUCCCGUUAUAUUUCUAUUGAUUGUAGUAUCUUGAGAUUGUCCUGAAAAAAUGUUGAAAAGUGUCUCCUAUAUUUGCUAAUUAAUAGUUGCUUAAAUUUAGUGAUUGUAAUAUUUUAGUAUUCGAUAUUGAUAUUAUUUAUUAUGCUUAAAUUAGUUCUUACAAAUUGUUGAGUUGCUAGAUGCACUGAUAUACUAGUUAACAGUUAGUAGUAUUUUCUAAAAAAAAAAAUUUCACUCACCAAUCAAACACUAGAAAAUAUUUUUCUAAAAAAUAUUUUCUACUCACCAACCAAACACCAUAAAAUAUUUUUCGAAAAUAUUUUUCACUCACCAACCAAACAUGAGAAAAUAAAUAGAAAACCAACUUAUUUUCCAAGAAAACAUUUUUCAUGAAAAAUAUUUUCCAUCGUACCAAACACACCCUUAGUAUUUGAAGAAUUCAAUUCUUGUGGAUUCUGACAGCUUAACUAACCUUCACUUAAGUGCUGAGAAAUUUAAAACAAUAUGUAUACAGUAUCAUAUAUUCUUUAAAAGAAAUGAUAUGUCAUUGUUAAAAGAGUUUAAUCUAGAGAAAACUGUGCAUGUGACUCGCUUUCAUUACCAACUAAAUCAAUUAUGUUCUUUCCUUUUGUGUAGUAGAGCUAAAAGAAACAUCAACCGAUUAUUUUGUAGCUCAAUGUUGAAAACUUAUGUGGUUCAAUAUGAUAUCUCUGAAAAUUUUACAGCUUGUUUGAUAGCUGCUGCCUAAUAAUGUAUUGUAUCGUGUUGCUAGUUUAAAUAUAAUGUGUAUUUUGAUUGUUUCUUAAAUUUUACUGUAUCAUUAAAUCUAUAACUAGAUAGCAAUAAAAAGUCUCAUUUGGUGUAACGACCUAUUUGAUGUGAUCGCGUUGUUACCUUUUUUCCCCUUUUUAUUUAUUAUUUAAUUAUCUUAAUGCUCCUUUAUCCUAUAUUUUUAUAGUAACUCUACCUCACAUUUUUCUAUUUUCCUUCUAGGCUUAUCCUUGAACUGUUAUAUGAAGGAUGCAAUGUAAUGACGAAAAAGGUAUAAUAAAUCCAAAUAUCGUAACAUUCACUAAAAUAAUAAAGUACAUACAAUACAACAUGAUACUUUAUGAAACAAUAUCAUUCCAAGUUAAGGACUUGAUUAGAAUGUGCAUGUUAAGUGUCUGAUGGGUUACUUAAGUAUAAAGUUCAAGUCCAUAUAAAAAGAUAAACCCUAAUUAUAAUGCCUUCAUCAUGGCUGGUCGACAGUAGUCUACUACUGAAUUUCCUCCUUUGAACCCAAAUUCUAUUGUGAAUAUCCAAACCCUACCGUUGGAUAAAUCUUUUGUUGAAUCAAUCAGUACAACAAAGUUGGACACCGUCUCUCGCAAAGAGGUGGUCAUGGUGGAAGGAAUCCCGAAUGUCACACUGAAAAAAGUGGAUACAGUGAAUAAAAUGGAGAAUUUGCAAUUUGUUGUCAUAGGUAAAUUCACUUAAGAAUGGACGGGUAUAGAAGAAUUAAGGAAUAUUAUCCCACAGCAAUGCAACAUUAAUGGUGAUUGUCAAAUUGGAGUAUUCAGAAAUAAACAUAUUUUCAUUCGUUAGACACAGGAGUCGGAUUUUAUUAAUAUCAUCAUCUCAAAGGGAGCUUUUUCCUUGCACUGUAAGGAUGGGUUCUCUUAUUUGAUGCGAACACUCUCACACUUAUCUAUGAUCCCCUUUUCAAAGAAACUUUAGAGACUACAAAGACUUUCGCAUGGAUUUCUUUCCCAAAUCUAUUGCCUACCUAUUAUGUCAAGGAAUGUUUGUUUUCUUUAGCUGCAACAGUGGGAAAGCCUGUCCAACUUGAUCUAGCCACCAUUAAUAGGACUAGACCAAGUUGUGCAAGGAUUAAGGUCUUGGUUGAUCUAAAAGCUGAUUUCUCUAAAUCAGUCCGGAUGGAUAUUGAAAAUGAAGAGUCAGGUAAAUGCAGGACAAUAGUGAAGCGGAUUAAAUUCGACCAUAUUCCUAAGUAUUGUCAUGAAUGCAAUAUGCAAGUUCAUGCUAAGAAUCAAUGUAGAAACUUAGGCACCCCAGAGGAUGCAACAAUGGCAGUAACAGUGGAUAAUAAGGAAUAAAAGAGGCCAGUACAACAUCUUCCUAAAUUCACAAUGCCUUUUGUACACAAAUUUCAAAACGGAAAAGCAUGAGUUCUUUCGAGUGGGAUUGUAGUUGGAGAUCCUACUAACUGGAUGGUUAUUAAAAAUGAUAAGAGGAUAGUUAAUACUUCCCAACAGCCUCUUUUAAUGAUAUAGUUAAUACUUCCCAACAGCCUCUUUCAAUGACAAAUAACCAAUUUGCUGCUCUAGCUACCGACGACAAAGAACCUGCUGAAUUAAACAUUUCGACAAAGGAGAGUUCAAACCUUAAGGCAUGUACGGAUGUGUUCCAAAUAAUAAGGAAAAUGAAAAAGUUAAUCUGUGGUCCAAUAAAGAAUCUGCUAAAGAGUGGGUAUCAAGGGAUUUUGGCAAGCUAGGUGAAGUUCCCAAUUCUGUAAUACCUGUACAGCAACAAGGCAGUCAGCAACUAAGUAAUCAACAACAAAGGCAAGAUAGAGAUAAUAAUGCUAAAGAGAAUAAUAAAGAUGGUAAUGGGAUGGAGAAUGAUAUGCAGGUUAAAUCUUUAAUAAAUCAGGAGCAUAAUAUUGAUGAUGGUCAGCAACAAUGCCUCAUAGUCAAAAAGGACAAUCUGCAAUCUAUAGAAGAUGUGCAACCAGAUACCAAGCAAUAGUCAAUGCAGAUUAAUCAAGAUUUUUACAGUGGAAGCUAUGAUAAUGGAGAUAGGUCAGUUGAGGAAAGUGUGGGGAUAACAGUUGUGAUGCAAGGGGAACAAAAUGUGUGUUUAGAAAUAAUGGAGAUUCCAAAACCAGUGCAGAUAGAUGAAUCAUUUAUCGUUACCAAGAGUUCUCCCAACAAAGUAAUACAUGACAUUGUCUCUCAUAGUUUAGGGUACAUUAAAUGCAGUAAUCAAACUCACAUGGCCAAAGGAGUUAAAGAAGUAGAUGUAGAAGAUGAUUCGAAGGAUCAUGCUCCAUCGGAAGCUGAUUUAUCACCAAGACUGAUGAAAAUCUCUAAAAAAGGAUAAAAAAGAAUGUGGAUGGGAGAAAACUCACAACCUACCAGAGUUCAUCCUAAGCGAUCCAAAUCUGCCCUAAAUUAUCAAUGAAAGCACUUAUUUGGAACAUUAGGUCUGUGAAGACACAACAAGAUUUCAAAGACUUCAGAUGCUUAAUAAUUAUCAUAAGUUCACCGGUUUCAGUUUGUUAGAGCCUUUUCAGAAUGUUAGAUAUAAGAGAAGAUUGAAAAUGCAUAGGGCUAUGUCAAACUGCAAUAGCAAGAUUUGGUUUUUCUCCUCUCAAGAUGUGAUAACAACUGUUAUUAAAGACACUGAUCAUCAGCUACAGUUCACUUGCAGGAGUAGGCUCAGAGCUUAGAUUUAUUACUCUUGUUUAUGCAAAGUGUUCUAAAGAGGAGAGAUUAAUCUUAUGGAAGGAUAUUUAUCAAGUUGCUUCUGGAAUUUCAAAACCUUGGAUGCUAGGAGGAGAUUUAAUGUUGUUUUGAAUUCUGAAGAGAAAAUUGGUGGCCUUCCAAUUCUUGAUGCAGGCCAUGGGGACUUUCAAUCAUGUAUUUCUUAUUGUGAUUUGAUGGAGAUACCUUUUAAAGAAAGUUCUUUCACUUGGUGGAAUGGUAGAGCAGGUAAUGACUGUAUUUUAGAAAGAUUGGAUAGAAUUUUUACUAAUCAACAACAACAACAACAACAACAACAACAACAACAAACCCAGUGUAUUCCCACCUAGUGGGGUCUGGGGGGGUAAGAUGUACGCAGUCCAUACCUCUACCUCUGCUGAAUUUUUACUAAUCAAGAUUUACAAAAUAAGUUCAAUCACAUGAAGGUAGAACAUCUUGCUACUAGUUCAGAUCAUGCUCCCAUGUUGUUGUAUUGUUAUGACAGAGCUAUCAGUUACAAGAAAUCUUUUAGAUUUCUUAAGUUUUGGACUGAUCAUCCUAAGUUCCUAGAAGUAGUAAGGCAGAAUUGGUGUUCUUCAGGUUCUCAGAGUCCAUUCUUAGAUUUCAAAGCAAAGAUUAAGAGAAUUAAAGUUGCUUUGACAAGAUGGAGUAAAGAGACUUCUGGGGAUAUUUUUAAAUAGUUGAUAAUCAGGGAAGAAAUUGUCAAGAUCAAAGAGAAAUUAUUUGAGGAAUGCCCUACGGCUGAUAACAGCGAAGUGUUGCAAAGAGCUCAGUCCGAGCACAAAAUAUAUCUUCGUUUUGAAGAGAUUUUUUGGCAGCAAAAAGCAGGUUAUGACUGGUUUGAGAAUGGUGACAGAAAUAUUAAAUUUUUUCAUAGCACUGUGAAGGGGAGGAGGAAAAGAUUGAAUUUGAAUAGAAUUCAAAUUAAUCAGGGUAUUUGGCUGGAUAAAGAAGAAAAGAUAGCCGCAGAGGUUGUUAUGUUUUAUCAGGACCAAUUUAGACAAGAACAAGAGGCUAAUGUUUUUUCAUAACUGAAUAAUAUACCUAAGAGUAUUUCUGAUGAGCAAAAUAUUGUUUUAAGUCAGUAAGCUGAUCUUGAAGAAGUUAAAAAGGCACUUUUUAGCUUAAAUGAAUAUAGUGCAAGUGGCCCGGAUGGGUUAACAAGUAGGUUCUAUCAGGUUCGCUGGGAUAUUAUUGGUAAUGAUGUUCUUAAUCUGGUGCAAGAUUUCUUAAAAGGUAAUACUCUUCCCAAAUUCAUUAUUCAUACUAAUUUGGUGUUGCUUCCCAAGAAGGAUUUUAUUCAAUUUUUCUCAGAUUUGAGACCAAUUAGUCUUAAGUAAUUUUAUUAAUAAGAUCAUUUCUAGGAUUGUGCAUGACAAAAGUGAACUUCUUUUGCCUAGACUGAUUUCUUUUAAUCAAUCUAAAUUUGUCAAAGAGAGAAGAAUUAUUAAAAAUUUCCUCCUGACUCAAGAGAUAGUUACUGACAUCAGAAAAAUGGGUAAGCCGGCUAAUGUGGUCUUAAAGCUUGAUAUGACUAAGGCUUAUGAUAGGGUUUCCUGGUUUUUCCUGAUGAAGGUUCUAAGAAAAAUAGGGUUCUCAAAAUUGUUUAUGGACUUGUUUUGGAGAUUAUUGUCUAAUAAUUGGUAUUCUAUACUAAUUAAUGGGCGAUCACACGGCUUUUUUCACUCAACUAGGGGAGUAAAACAAAGAAAUCCUUUAUCUCCAGCUUUCUAUUUGAUGAUGCUCAAUAUGUAGGUUAUGAUAUGCCAAAGUGGAGUUCCAAUAUUAAUCAUCUUGCUUAUGCAGAUGACACUAUUAUAUUCGCUGCAGCUAACAGAUACUCUUUGAGAAAGAUUUUUUCAGUGUUACGGGAAUAUGAAACUCAAUCAGGGCAAAAAGUUAAUAAAGAGAAGAAUGCUUUCUACAUGCAUCAGAAUUCAGCUGCAGUUGAUAAACAAAUGGUGGAAGAUUGUGCGGCUAUUUCUAAAGGCCAAUUUCCUUUGAAAUACCUUGAAUGUCCUAUCACUCAUGCUAGAAAAAGAAAGAGUCAUUAUUCAGAGCUAAUUCAGAAGGUUAAGUCAAAAUUACAGGCUUGAAAAGGUAAUAUUCUCUCAUAUGGGGGGAAAGGAGGUCCUUAUCUCUAGUGUUCUUCAAAGUGUUCCUAUACAUAUCCUUUCUGUUGUUGUCCCUCCUAUUUGUGUAUUGAAGGAGCUUCACAGAAUAUUUGCAAAUUUUUUUGGAGUAAUAAGGCCGAUGGAAGAAACAAACACUGGGCUGCUUGGGUAAAGGUGUUUUUACCAAAACAGAAGGCAGUUUGAGUUUUAGAUCGAUGUUUGAGGUAUCUCAAGCCAUGUAUCCUAAGUUCUGGUGGAAGUUCAGAACUCAAAAUACUACUUGGUCCAACUUUAUAUGAGACAAGUAUUGCAAAAAGCAAAUACCUUCACUAGUUUAAUGGAAAGGUGGCUCGCAAGUAAGGAAGCAUAUGUUGCAAAAUAGGGAUCUAGUGGAGCAAUUCUUGUGGUGGAACCUAAAGGAGGUACUUCUACAGUUUGGUAUGAUAAUUGGACUCAACUUGGUCCUCUUUUCAAACACCAGGUAGAGGUCAUUCUUCUUUUCCAGUGAUGGAUAUUGAGGAAUUCAUGUUGGGCUCAGACUGGGAUUUUGAGAAUAUGCAAUAUCAUUUAUCAGAUAAUGUAGUAGAGCAUGUAAGAUUACAUUUGAGGCUUGUACGACAUCCUGGAGAAGGUGACAAGCCCUGGUGGAUUAAAUUUAGUUCUGGCAAGUUCUCGGUUAAAAGUGCUUGGGAAGAACGGAGGAAAAAAACGUUUGUAAUGAGUCAUUUCAGAAGAUCUGGGUAAAAGAGAUUCCUUUCAAAAUUUCUUACUUUGGUUGGAGAGUUUGGACAAAUAGGAUUCCUGUAGCCUCUGUUUUAGCUAAUUGGAAUCCUAACUUGUCUCCUCUUUAUUCAUAUUGUGUUUCAAGAAAUCAUGGAGCACCUCUUUCUAAAAGGUGAAGUGGUUUAUUUCGGUUUGGAUUUAUUACGCCAAUGCUGCAGGUAUUCUGGGGCCCUGGGUUCAAAUUAAACUAUCCAUAAAGAAGUGGUGGGAUAUAAAUGGUAAUUAAAGACAAAGAUUCAUCUUUCAGGUAGUUCCUACUCUCAUUUUGUGGUUUUUACGGAAAAGAAGGAAUGCAUUAGUUCAUGGAGGUUCAUACUCUACAGCCAAGGUUAUUUGGGAUAUUAAUGGUUUAAUUAAGAAAAUUCUCAGAAAGAAGUUUGGUUAUGAUCAGUUACCAUCUAGUUGGCCUCAAAUAGUUGCUUUUUGACUUAUUUAGACCUACAUUUUUAUCUAGAUGGAUAAGAUGGUAUCCCCCACCUAGGGGAUAGUGGAAAUAUAACACUGAUGGAACCUCGAGAGGUAAUCUAGGUCGAAUUUCAGCUGAUUUUUGUGUACGAAAUCAUGUAGGUGAUCUUGUGUAUGCUAAGGGUUUCUCUAUUCCAGAUUCCACUAAUCUGGUUGUUAAAGUCAUUGCUAUAGGAGUUGGUUUACAUUAUUGCUUAGAAAAUCAAAUUGUCAACAUUAUUGUGGAAUCUGAUUCCCUUGUAGUAGUCAACAUGAUUAAUGGAGUGUGGGAAAUUCCUUAGAGUGUGAUAAUGGAGGUCAACUCCAUUAAAGAUAUGAUGGAUUCUUGUUCAGCAAGAGUACAACACUCCUUAGGAAAGGGAAAUACUCUUGCUGAUUAUUUAGCUAACUUGGUUUUUCAUUUUGCAGGUAACUUUGAAUUCAACAGUUUUCAUGAAAUUCCAAGCGCAGGUAGGAAGAUUAUCAAUCUAGACAAACAAGGCAUUCCACAAAUGAGGAUAAGACAGUGUACAUCAACUAAUUCAACAAGGGAUGGAUCGCUACUGCAGAUUACAAAGUGAAUUUACAAACUCUAUUAGCAGUGACUAGUUACUGGUGAAUUUAGUGCAGUCUGAAUUAGUUUCGUUUGGUUAACAUACCAUGCACCUGUGGGAAUUUUUAGGUGUUACAUAGAGUAUAAACCCAGGACUCACUUAUACUAGUUGCUAAUUUCUAGGUAUAGAGUUUAUAAAAAUCAAGCACAAAUUUAGAGGCAUUUCAUAGUCUCAAAUCUGUUGAUGAGGAGAGGAUGGAGUACCCGGGACCUCAAAUUUAGCGGCGGAAGAUAGACAGGGUAUAAUUAUCAAGCAAUACAAUUCUUUUAUACAGAUUCCACUUCAGAGAAGAACAAAAAUAAUCAUUGCCAACUUAUGGAUUGCAAAGUGUCAAAAUACAAAUUUCAGCAUUUGGAGUAACACAAGAAGGCAAGGAGCAAGAUAAGUAUUAAUGGACAGUAGUGGUGAUUAACAUUCACUAAUACUGAUUGAUUUCUAAGUCAUACAAUUGAAAUGGGGGUUAAGGUGAACCUGUUAGUUCUGGAUCCUUGGUGGUGGUAUCAAUCUCCUUGAGGUUUAUUCCGCUAGGAAAAAGAGAGAACAGUGAAAUCAUUUUUUUCAUUUCACAGAUGAGUUUAGAAUAGAAAAAGGGAGGUGACUUACCAUAUCAUCUGCAAUAAAUAUUUAUUGAUUUGGAGCUGUAGAAAUUUAGUUGAAACCAAUUUCAUGAAGUUUGUAAGAGAUUAAAGUGUCUUAGUGAAAUUUGAUGGAUGUUCCAUGGCAAUAAUGGCUUCCACAACUUAAUGCAACAACCAGAUGAGGUUGGAGUAGCAAAGAUUGAAACCAUAGUUGCCUCUCCGUGAUGUCUUUCAGCUUUGAGUUUUAUCCACACAUUCCUUUUCCUGCUUACAUUUUCUGUUUUUGGUCUUUUCAGAUGUCUGGAUAUAUUUGUUGCUUUUGUUUUGGACCCGGGUCUUGCUUAACUUGGGCCAAUUUGUACAUAUCUUUUCUGCUCCUGAAUAAAUUGGGCUCUGGUCCAUCUUCAAUUAAAAAAAAGGAAAAAUGACAUGGACUGACCAGUUUAAAAAAAGGAAAUUUUGCAUAUAUACCGACAUGUUUACUCUUAAUUACCAAAAAUUUCAACAUUUUUCAAAAUCUCCAAAAAUUCCAACAUUUGACCUCUGAUAAUACAAGUUAAUCACAUUAGAUACAUACUGUUGAUAUAUGUAUCUAAUGUGAUUAACUUGUAUCAUACAUUAGAUAUAUGUAGGGUUACAUUAGAUACAUGUAGGGUUACAUUAAAUACAUGUAGGGUUAACUUGUAUCUCAAAAAUAGUCCCAAAUAUGAAAUGUUGGAAUUUAUGUAAUUUUUCAGAAGUAGGGGGAUUUUUAGAAAUUUUGAAAGUUAUGAUGUUUAUUUAUGUAAUUUUUUGUUAAAAAGAAAAAAAAUAGCCCACACUAUGAAAAUAUGGACAAUUGGAGCCAGUAGACCCAAUUUAUUUCCUGUUUUUUCAGUCAUUUGGCCCAAAACUAUUCUCCUUACACAAUUAAGGGGAUUAAAUACUCUUCACAGUAGGCUACUCUUAAAUCACUUUUCUUUUCAAACUAUACUUUCCCAAAAAAAUGUUCACCUCUAUUAUGUGUCGAUCAAUCUACUGUGUUUUGUGAUAACAAUUGAGUUAGUAGGGCACAUGCAGUCUCUAUACCCAAUUGAUACACUUUUGUACCAUAUUGAUACAUGUUUAUACCCAAUUGAUACUCUUUAUACUACAUUGAUACACUUUUAUACUCAAUUGAUACUCUUUUAUACUAGAUUGAUACACUUUUAUACCACGUCGAUACAGUAUGUAUAUUACAUAAAUACAUCUUUUACAGAGGAAAUUUGUGCAAGCAUAUACAGUAACAAUACCAAAUUAAUACAGUAAAUCAAAAUUAGUAAGUACGAACAUAAUUGAUACUCUUUAAAAUUAUAGUAUUAAUAGUACAUAAAGUAACAAAAAAAAAGAUCAAAUCAUCUUUCCAUCAAUUAUUGUUUUGAUUUAGUUCAUUCUUUCUCCUUAACGCUCUUUUAUAUUUCUAACUUCCUCUUCCUACCUUUAUUUUCUCUUCUUUUUUUCUUUCCUUCAUUACUAAGUUAGUUGUAAACACCCAUAUGAUGAAGUAUGUAUUUACUCUUGAGUUGAUGUCAUAUUUAUCCUACUAAGAAAAAUCACAGGUUCUGUAAGGAAUUGUCUAGACAUGGAGUACAUAUAAAAAUUUAUUCUGCCACUUGAAAAAAACCUGUAAAAAACUAAUUAAAUUCAGAUUUUUUGAGAUUUUAUACAAAAUUUAUGAAAUGAGAAAGGUAAAUUGGAGUAUCGAAAAAAGGUAAAGGAACAAAUAUUUAGGAGUUUGAAUGGAAAGGAAACUGGGAAUGAAAAGAAAAGAAAGAAAGGGAAAGUUACUUCAAGGAUGUUUUUGAUUUUGUUUAAGCGUAUGACAGUGAAGGUUAGUUAGUGGAAUUACUCUGUGUCUAUUUAUGAUGUAUUUAAUUUUGACUGCUAUUUUUUUAUAUUAUUUUAGUUUUAGGUGUUAUUUCUGUCAUUUGCCCAAAAAAAAAAACUUACUAUUUUACUACAAUUCUUGUUGGUAAGAAUACAUUAUUUCUUUUUUUUUUUUAGGGCAAACAACAUAAAUUUCGAGAAUUUGGAGCUUAAUUACAGAAAAUUCUGAUAUUUUGCAUAAUUGUUGAAAAUCUCAAUUUUGGAUCUGUUGAGAUACAUUAUUAGCUUCUGAUACAAUCAAAAAGAUACAUUUUUAACUUUGUAUAGAUAUAUAAUUAGCUUCCGCUACAUAUUUUUUAAAUUUUGCGUUUGUUGAGAUAUAUAAUACAUCCAAUGAAGAUAUAUUUUUUUCUUUGUAAAGAUAUAUAAUUAGCUCCCAGUGCAGUUUUUUUAUUUUUGGGUCUGUCGAGAUACAUAAUAAGCUUUCGAUACAUCCAACGAAGAUAUAUAAUUAAUUGAGCUUUUUGUAGUUAUUUUGUAAGAGUGAAAAUUUUGUAUAAAUAUAAUAAGUUAAGAUGUAUAUUUAUACUAUUUUUCCAUAAUUUGCUUGCGAACCAAAUCGACCACUAAAGAAUUGAAAAGUUAAACAAUUUGUUCCCAAUACAGAACAAACUUUAGCCUAAAAUUUAAUGCUAAAAAUUACUACAAUGAGCUGAGUGGCUGAAAUGGUGCCACUUAAGAAUAAUUUGGUGGAUGAAAUGAAUGAAUUGUUUUGGAGUACAAAUUUUGAUUUAGACAAUCUAUUGAAAUUUAUUAUAGUACUGUUUAUAUUUAGGGGCCAUUUUUCAGGAUCUAUGAAAAAUUUAUAAUGUUGAGUAGAACAUACUAUAAAAGUAAUGUUGGAUAGAGCAUAUCACACAUUAGCACAAUCCUAAUCAAUAAUGAUAGCUAUUCAUCUCUAGUUCACUUUUAUAGUUAAUCAAAGAAUUAUUAACAACGAAAAUUAAUUUUCUUGUUUUGGUUUUCUAUCAUUGAAUCAGCAAUAGUUUGAUAUAAGAACUAUUCAGAACAGACUAAAUUAAAGAGAAAGAUGGAAUACCGUCAAUGAAAAUAAUAGGAUAUGAUAUCUUCAAAGAUAAAGAAGGCAGUGAACUUUUUACACAUAUAAUACGUAUAAUUAUUAAAGAAUAUAAAAGAAAUUAAAAAAAGGACAUACAGUACAUAUAUAAACUGGAAAAGAAGAUCAAUAAUGUAAAAGUUUGAUGUUAACACUGUUCCUUAAUUAAAAUUUCCAUAAUGAUUAUACUCGCUAUUUUCUUUCAUUUGCACAAAUCAAUAUGCUCCUUUCCCCCCUUUUUUUCUCCUGAUCACUCCUUAAAGAACGAGACAUAUAGCAUACAUAGAGAAGAGAGUACUUUGUCUCCCUCAAUAAAUACCUUGAGAAAAAAAUGUAACUCAUUAGUAGUUUCUUGAUUUUGUAAAAUUUUCUUUAUUUAAAAAAGAGUAACAUUGGAAGAAGGUCAUUAGUAUCUUUUUUAUUAUCUAAAACAACAUUUAUUAUCUUUUUUAUUAUCUAAAACAACAUUUAUUAGGAGCAAAAUAAAAAAGCUAAACAACCACUUAUUAGAAACAGAGGGAGUACUAAUUAUCUGAUAGUGUUUUCAGUGUUACGCAUCAUGAACUAAAAGCUUAAUUUAAGAAGCAUUGACUGCUUAAUGAAAUCUUUUAAUUCACAAUGAUAAUAAGGAAAUCCAAUUUGUGUUGUAUCAUUCUAGCCUUUCCAUUUUUUAUGGAGACAAAGCAUUAAUAGACAAAUGGAGAUUGGACAUAUCAAGAUUUCAGUCUCAUCCUGUCAAAUCAUUAAUUGUAAAACCUUCAUGUAUUUCUAUGUUCAGCCUAAGAUAUUAAGGGGUUAAUAUUCUUUCAAAACAUGGAGAGUUUCUGAUAUUGGGAGACAUGGUUGUUUGUCGAAUAUAUUUAUUUCUCAAUAAUUGAAAUAUAUAAUUGUAUUUGAUGUGAAGAAAGUAUUAGUUAAAAUGCAGUUUGGUUCAUUUUGGCUAGGGAUUCCAUCCUUUCCAUGUAUAAAAGUUUUUGAAUGUAAGGAUGAGAAAUCAAGGUAUCUGCUACACUUUUUUUAUAUAUACGUGUAGCGCAUGUAUCGAGAAAUUAGUAAAAGAAAAAAAAAAUUCCUCAGCUAAUUCUCAAUCAACACCAACUCCAUCUUAGGAAAGUGUGGUUGGUUCUGUUCUUCCUCGAAUUCAAUGAAUUUUUGUCAUAUUGUCAUACAUAUAACGAAUAAUAUAUAUAUNNNNNNNNNNNNNNNNNNNNNNNNNNNNNNNNNNNNNNNNNNNNNNNNNNNNNNNNNNNNNNNNNNNNNNNNNNNNNNNNNNNNNNNNNNNNNNNNNNNNNNNNNNNNNNNNNNNNNNNNNNNNNNNNNNNNNNNNNNNNNNNNNNNNNNNNNNNNNNNNNNNNNNNNNNNNNNNNNNUAUGCCUCUUUUCCUCUUUAAAUUUUAAAGUAAUAAUUAAGAAGAAAAAAGAAGAAGAUACUAUUCAAUAAUUUAAUUCUGAUACCAUCAACAUGGAAGACUCCAUUUGCUUCAUCUAACAAUGGACUUUGGCAUUAUAUAAUUAACAAAACAAUUAAUUAUUAGGAUAACUUAAUCACCGACAAAGGUUUCUUACUAUUAUCCUUAUGAGAUUCCACUAGUUAAGCUAAAUAUUUUUAAUCGACGUAAGAGUUAUGAAUGUAUAAACAAGUAGAUCUUAGCUACAUUGACCUAGUCAAUCAUUAUUAUUACCGACAUAUUUAUGCUAUACAAAUAUUUGUCCUAAUGCUAUCUUUUAUUUAUUUUUUUAAUGGAAAAGGGUCAAAAAGAUUCCUGAAUUAUUCGAAGUGGAGCAAAAAUAUCCCUCAUUAGUUUUUUGUCUCAAAAGUAUCCCUCUCUAAUGAAAUAACACCAAGCAUGUCAUGUAGACAAAAUACGUCACUUGAACAGUUCACGUCAGAUCGACCAUCUUUAUUAAAGGUGAAUGCUCCAUUAAAUGAGAGAUUUUCCAUGUGGAUAUUGGCGCCUAGCGUGGACUGUUCAAGUGGCGCUUUUUGUCCACGGACAUACUUAGUAUCAUUCUGUUAGAGAGAUGAAUAGUUUUGAGCCAAAAAUUUAAUGGAGGAAUAGUUGUAAGCAAAAAAAUUAACGAAAGAUAUUUUUACUUUAUUUCAAAUAAUUUAGGAAUAUUUUUAAUCGUUUUUUGCUUUUUUAUGAUUUCUAAGUUGCUUAUAAUUUUUUUAUUACUACAUGAUUAACAAUAUUUUUUUAUUUCCAUAAAUAACAGAGAGUAAACUAAGUUGCACCUUAAUGGUCGAAAAGUAUUCACUAUUUUUUUUAGACUUAAAGAGGUGAUUCUGAUACAUGUCUUAUGAACAAUCAUUACAAAUUUUAUUAUUUUAAAUUUUGUUUUAGAUAAGUCUAUGAUUAAGUUGUUGGUGACCAAUUUAUUCAAUUGAGUGAGGCUGGCAUGUCCAAAGAUUUUAGGACGAAGAAACGGGUUAUUAUGUUAAUUAGGUAGAUUUAUUUUAGGGAGAAAUAAGACAUAUGCUUUAAUUUGUAAAUAUUAAUAAGUAUUUUUCCAUUUAAGCAUAGCUUCUUUUAAAUUUAAAUUAGUAAUCAAACAGUGUUUAGUAGUAUUUUCUACCUUGUUGGCUUUGUCACACAUUUGAGAGAUGCUAAAAAUGUGUAUUAAAAAAAAAAUAAGAUGGAAAGAGAAGCAUACUGGCUCAAAGGUAAAGCCGCUAAAACGUGCUUUAAGGUUCAAAAAUAGUAUUUUUAUUAUAUAAUUAGUCUCUCCUAUGUUUUACAGUUUAUAGUCUAUAUGCAAUAAAUCAAAUUCUAUUAUAUAAUUUUUUAUAUAAAAAUAAAAGUUUCUUUAAAGUUAUUAAAGGAUGUCCAUUUGUUGUAAUAAAAUACAUUGAUUUUGGUUCUCAGAAUCCUAUUGGUACAUAAUAAACUUUGGCUAUUUUAAUUCAAAGUUUUAAAAUAUCAAAUACAAUUCUAUAAUCUUUAACUAAAAAUUUAAAAAUAAGAUUAUUAAACUUCCGAUGAUAUGAUUGUAUAAGAAAAUAAUAAACAUUUUAAAAUGUUAUUGUAACUUUAUAUAAUACAUGUAACAGUAUUUUUCUAGUGAUUAUAAGAAGAAUUUUAUUGAAAAAUCAAACGUAAUUGUAACUUGCGGUAUUGAAAGUAAAAUUUGAUGGCGAGGAAAAUAUGAGUCCAUUCUUAUGUCAUUAAAAUUUAUAAACCUUUUUAUUAAGAUGACUUGAAAAUGGUAUUUAACUAUAUAUAAUUUAUAAUUUUUUAAUUAUCAUAAAUAAAAUAUUUCAUUUUCGUGAUAUUUUAGUUUGGAUUGCUUUCUAUCUAUCAUUAAUGACAAAAUACAUCGUCAGACCCCUUAAAUUGACACCAUUUUUCACUUUGGCAUCUUAAGUGGACAUUGUUCACCUUUGGCAGUUCAAAUAACCAUAAAGUGUAUCAUUUUGACAUCUUUCGACAUCAAUAAAAGUGUGUGUUACACUCACUGUCAACGUGGAUAAAACGGCCAACUGAUUUAUGCCAAUUCAUUUAAAUUGCCACAUCAUUAUUUAUAUUCACAAUUAGUUUUAAAAAAAAUAAAAUCAAAACAUAUGGCAAUUAAUGACAUAAUUAUCUAACUCAUUAAUAUAUAUACAAAAUUAAAUUAAAAGAAUCAAUUAAUUACUGACACGUGACAUUUUUCAAAAUAAUUAUAAAAUUAUUUAUUUUAUUUGGACAACCCUCCACCCACCUCCCACCCCCAAACUCCAAAGUCAUCUUCUCUACCACCAUCUAUCCCCCCGAUACCCCCCACCCUAAAUCAUCUUCUCUAUUUGGCAACACCCCUCUUCCCGUCAUGUUCUCCAUCUCCCUCCCCCCCCACCACCCCCAACCCCUGCCUGAGUCAUCUUAUCCUCUCCAUUUGCCCCUUUGAAAAGAUGAACACUCAAUCAAAGAUUAUAGUAUAUAUGUAUAUCAAAGACCUUGAUUAGUCAUAGCUUGACCUCAAAAAUUAGAAGGCAUUAAAUGACUGUUUUUUUUCUUAACAAAAAAUAAAAAAGAAAUGAUUGACCUUGAAAUAUAUUCAUCAGUAGUAUGUGUGAACCUAUUCUUUGGCAACGCAGUGGUCUUCUUACUACUUCAGUUGCAGUCAUAACAUGUUGACAAAGAUGGUGAUUGCUCAACAACAAAUCACUCGUUGUUGUUAGUGUGUUAGUGUGUUUCGUUAUUCUUGAAAAGUUCAACCUCCAUUAAUGGAAGUUAAGCUAAAGAAAGGUUGUGUGAAGAAGGCAAUGUGAGGAAAUUUUUUGUAAUUAUUUGGUCAAUAAAACAUGUGCCAUUAAUUUAUUGGAUCAAUUUUUACUGAUUUGGCAAUAGAGAUUUUCAAUAGUUUUAAAAAAAAUUUAAAGAUGAAAAAUUACAAAAAUAUCCCUAAAAAUUUAUGAAAAUACUCUUCAAACGCUCCAAAAAGUGAGCAACGUCCACUUGAAGUGCCAAAAUGAAAGAUAGCACCAAGUUGAGGACCGACAAUAUAUUCUUUCUUCAUUAAUUAGUGCAUGUACUACUCCUGUACUCCAUUGGUUUUGAUUUUUUCUUGUUCCUGCACAUUAUUUCUCCUUUUUUACUGUCUAUAUAGUACUAUUUUUUAACUUAGUAUGUUGAAAUUAAUUAUUUUUUAUUUGCAUAUGAAAAAGAAAUACUUAACUAGAUUGAUUCUUAUUCGUAUAUAAAAAGUUAAAAUAGUGAAAUUCAAGAAAAAUAUAUGAAUUUUAUAUUUGGCUUUAGAUGGCUAAUUAUAUUAAGCCGCCCUUGAAGGGACGGUGAAUUGUAAUAUUUUUUGUGGUUGACUAUGAGGCGAGCUAUAAUAUGAAAUCAAAUAAGUAACAUAGUAUAAUUAUGUGCUAAGUAAUGUGUCAUAUGAUAUUUUUCAAUUGAUUUGAAUUCAGUGUGAAUUAUAGUUAGUCCUUCCUUUUGGAUUUUUGUUAAACUGAAAUUUUCAUUUUUAUUACAUAGAGAGAGAAGUUAUAAAAAGGAUGAUUACAACGUGUUGUAACUUUUCAGGACGAAGAACAACAAGUCAUUGUUUUAUUAAAGAGGGAUUGUCCCUUGUCCAUAUCAGCUUUCAAGAAAAUAACAGAACAAAUGUUGAAUCUACUACUAUGAGAAAUUCAUCAUUUGUUUUGUUGGAGUUAGCCAAUGUCUGCUUUCUCCUUCCUAAUCCUAAAAUUAGCCAAACCAACUUUAUCCAACCUAUAAGUCCUUUAUAUUCAUCAUUAAGCUCUUGAAAUUGUUGUUGAGUACAAUGUUGAGGGUGUACUUAAUUUCUAAUCAUACAAUAGCGGUCUUUUUCACUCUUUGUAGUUGAUAUAUUGCCUCACCAAACACUAUUUUCCUCUCUUCGCUCUUUUUAAAUACACAAUAAAUGAAUUAGGAAGUUACAAUGCUUGUUAAGAAUAGCAUAGAGCUUUGGAGAAUGUUUGGACAGGAUGUACAGUUUCUUUUCCUAGAAGGCAUAUAUAGUCUUUGUGUGCUUGAUGUCUUGAAAAAGGAUAGAGAAAGACAAUCCAUACUACAUGAAAAAUAUUGAAUUGAGACAUAAUAUUUAUCAAUGGACAAGUCUGGCAUAGAGUUUAAACGGAUUUGUGAUAGAAUUAACUAAUUUAUAGUGUUGAUUUUAAUUUUUUCAAAAAUAAAUCAUAAAAUAGAUUGCCUAGCUUGACGUGUUAUGUGAUAUUAUGCAUAGAUUAAGUCCAUUGGAGGUUGUCUGAUUAGAGAAUCGGACAAUGCUUAGCAUGGGAAUUUCAUUGAAUAUGGAGCUAAGUGAGACUUUAAUCUCUCAUUUACUUGCUUUUUCAAAAGCAUUAUUUAAAACUGAGAAAUCGCUUCAAACUACUCCUCCACCCCAUUUUAGUUGGGCACAUUCUAUUUUAUACGGUGAUUAAGAAUCAUAAAUUGAAUGAUAAAUUUUACGAUCUUACCCUUUACUCAUAUUAAUGUUAUUCGUUGGGCAUAAGAAUGAACAUUGAAAUUGAAAUUGUUAACAUUUAAUAUAUACUAAAAAUUGUAGGGGAAAAAUAAAAAAAUAAUUAAUUUUAUCCUAAUUUAGUAAGUGGUCUUUUUUGGUGGGCUGAAACGCAUUAAAAAGAAAUAGCGGAGUAUUACAGUAGCACCUGGAUUAACCAGGAUCUACAAAAUUUGAGUUUGAGCUUAUGCCCUCUAAUGAAACAUUACAACACCUUGUUUGCCUAAUGAAACUAGUUCCUAGGAUGUCAGCCCAGGUAGCUUUGCAGCAUACAUUGGAGGAAUUACAAAAGAGUUUCUCUGUCCACAAACUUUCAGUCUUGCUCCUUCCUUAGCUAAUGCAUCCUUCACCAUAUUCUGCUCUUUAUAGCAGUGCUGGAUUUGUGGUCGUCCCAGACUCCUGAUUAGCAACCUGCAUCCAUUAAUUAUGGCAUUAUAGUGGAGGUUUCCCUCUUUGAGCAUAAUAAUAACCUUUUUCGAGUCUACAUUGAUGUCCACGGGAACUAAGGACAUUUCCUCCAUAAUUUUUAGUCCCUUUAGUUGAGCAAAGAGCUCCAUCUGGUUAUUAGUAAUCACAGGGAAAACUUUUUUGAAACCUGUAGUCCAAUUCCCUUCAUUGUCUCUAAUAACCCCUCCAAUACCACCCCUACCAGGAUUUCCCAAACAUGAGCCAUCAGUGUUAAGUUUAAAUCUUUCUUUAGAGGUUGGUUCCCACUUAACACUAAUGUUCAAUAAUCUAUUUGUCACGACCUGAAUCAAGGUCUGGCCGUGAUGGGCAUCCCUAGCCAACCAAGGUCGGAGAUGACCCCUAACCUUACCUCAAGAGCACAUCAGUAAAAACAAACAACAAAAUCCAACCAAGAUAAAAAGAGAAACAUAUGAUUCCAAAAGAAAGUUAAGAGUCAAAACCAACUCCAUAAUAAUAUCCCGACACUGCCUACAAAAGUCUCUAAUCCAAAAAUACCAACUAAGUCAAGACAUGUCCCCGACUAUAACAAAAGAAAUUCAAAAGUUCUGAAAUGAUAAAUGUAACUAAGAAAGAGGCCAAGUCUUUUGAUAGUUCAUAAGUUGGUUGAACUUGUGUUGAACUUAUUGUGGAUUAAAUACAAAUUUUGUACCCAGAAUAACAAUCUUAAGGAAUUUAUUAAUAAUUUUAAUUUUUGAGUUUCUAGAGAUUAAAACUUUUUGCUUUCUACGCUGUUUGAACUUUAUAGUGAUUUGAAGUUAUAAAAACUUCAUCACGGGUUAAUGUUCAUUCAGUUGAUGAUUAGAAGAACAUAAAAGCUUCAACAUUAAACUAGAAAUAAGUUGUUUAAAGUUUUUAAAACUUUAUUCUUAGUAUUUUGACUUACUAAAUUGGUUGUCUUUUUGUCACAGUAAAAAUGAUUAUUGAAAAUCAAGUUAAUGAUGGAAUGGUCAAUGUCACAACAACAAAUAUUGCUACUUAAAAUCGUUCAAAUGCUGCUCCGCCAAGGCACUGACAGAAAAAUCAGAAAGUUUUCUAGUGUGGAUUUUAAAAGAUGGCAGCAGAAGUUGUUCUUUUAUCUGACUACAUUAAAUCUACAAAGGUUCAUCACUGAAAGCAUUUCAGAGUUUUCGAAAGAAAUAUCCAAAAAUAUACUUUAUUACUACAAAAGCUUGAAAGCACUUGAAUUUUUUAUAUAAGAACUACAUACUGAGUGGCUACAACAUGGCAUGUACAAUGUGUACAGCAAUAUGAAGACCUCUAAGGAACUAUGGGUAGCUUUGGAAAAGAAGUACAACAUAGAGAAUGCAUGAAUGAAGAAAUUUAUUAUUGCAAGAUUUGUAGAUUUUAGGUGGUAGACAGUAAUACUGUAGUUACCCAAGUUCAAGAACCGCAAGUCAUCAUUCAUGAUCUCCUCACCAAAGGUAUAAAUUUGUUCUUGAUACUUACAUAGUCUCUGAUGUAGGCUUAAUUGUGAACGAGGCUUAUCAAGUAGCUGCUAUAAUCGAGAAGUUACCACAUUUGUGGAAAGACUUCAAAAACUACUUAAAGCACAAGCACAAGGAGAUGUCUUUCGAAGACCUUAUUGUGAGGUUAAGAAUCGAAGAGGACAAUAAAGCAUCAGAAAAGAGGUCUCGAUGGAAUUUACAAUAAGUAGAGAAAAUAUUGUGGAAGACGACCCCCAAUAAAUUAAAGAGAGAAAGGAAGCGUCAGGACAAUAAGGCAAUCCUCCUAAGAAGAAAUUCAAAGAAAAUUAUUUUAACUGUGACAAAGUUGGCCACAAGUCUUCAGAUUGUCAGGCUCCUAAGAAGGACAAGAAAAGAGGAUCAAGCUAACAUGGUUGAAUCCAAGAUGAUGUGGAGAUCUAUGUGCUAUGCUUUUGGAGUGCAUGUUGGUUGAAAAUCCUAGAGAGUAGUGGAUUAAUUCAGGUGCCACUAGCCACAAUGUGCCAACAAAAAAUUAUUUCCAUUAUAUUUUCUGGCUCAGGCUAAUGAGAACAUAUUCACGGUAACUCUGUUACGGUAAAGAUUGAAGGAAAAUGCAAGAUUUACUUGAAGAUGACAUUGGGCAAGGUGGUGACACUAAACAACGUCCUUUAUGUUUCAAAGUUGCGAAAGAACUUAGUUUCUACUUCACUUCUAACUAAAAAUAGAUUCAAAUAAGAAUUUGUUUCUGACAAAGCUGUAAUUAGUAAGCAAGAAGUGUAUGUAGGUAAAGGUUACUUCAUCGAGGAUUUUUUUAAGAUCAGUGUAAUAAAUGUUGAAAUCAAUAAAAAUUCUGUUUCUUCUUACUUACUUGAGUUAAAUGAAUUAUGGCAUGAACAUUUAGGACAUAUUAAUUACAAAACUUUGCAAAAACUGAUUAAUUUAAAAAUUUUGCCUAACUUUGAGUGUAAUAAAUCAAAUUGUCAAACAUGUGUGGAAUCUAAGUAUGCUAAGCAUCUAUAUAAGUCUGUUGAAAGGAAUUUCAAUCCCUUAGACUUAAUCCACACAAAUAUUUAUGCUAUGAAGUCAAUACCAUCUCAUGGUGAGAAAAAGUAUUUCAUAACUUUUAUUAAUGAUUGCGCUAGAUAUUGUUAUUUUUAUUUGCUAAAUGAUAAGAAUAAAGUAAUAGACGUAUUUUGGUAAUAUAAAACUAAAGUUGAAAACCAGUUGGAUAAAAAGAUCAAAAUAAUAAGAAGUAAUAGGAGUAGAGAGUAUGUAUCUUCUUUUGCAGGGGUAUGUUAGAAAAAAGGAAUUAUCCAUCAAACUAAUUUCCCGUAUUCACCUCAAUCAAAUGGGAUUGUGAAAAGAAAAAUUGAAUGUUAAAGAAAAUAAUAAUUGUCUUACUCAUAAGUUCAGAUAUACCGCAAAACUUGUGGGGGGAAGUUAUCCUUACAGCAAAUCGAAUACUCAAUAGAGUUCCCUAUAAGAAGACACACUCUAUCCUAUAUGAAAAUGAAAAGGAAGGAAACCCAACUUGAAAUAUUUCAAAGUGUGGGAUUGUCUAGCUAAAGUCCAAGUCUAUAUACCUAAAAGGAUAAAAAUAGGACCAAAGAUUGUGGAUUGUGUGUUCAUCGUAUAUGCUACAAGGAGUAAAGCAUUUCAAUAUUUGGUUCAUAAAUUCGAACCAUGAAAAUACGAUAAUCUGAAUCAGAUAAUAUUAAGUUCUUUGAAUACAUUUAUCCGUAUAAAAUUGGACAUGAGAUGUCUAGUGGAGGAUCUAAACAACCUCGAGAUGAACCAAAGGAGAAUGUACUUAAUAAUGAGAAUCAAGGUGUAGUACACGUCAAAUACCGUCAAUUUUCUUUGGAUAAGAUUUUGUAACAUUUCUUCUUGAAAAUGAGCCUUAAAAAUUGAAAGAAACGAUGUCGUCUUCAGACCCAUCCUUUUGGAAAGAGGCAAUCAAUGGUGAUAUAGAUUCAAUCUUGAGCAACCAUACUUAGGAAUUGAUUGAUCUUUCUCCGGUAAAUAAACCUUUAGGUUCUAAAUGGAUCUUCAAAAGGAAAAUAAAAGCUAGUGGUACUUUUGACAAUUAUAAGACAAGACUUGUUGUGAAAGAUUUUAGACAAAAAGAAGGCCUUUAUUAUUUCGAUACAUACUCGCCAAUAACAAGGAUAACGUUCAUUCAGAUGUUGGUUGCGUUGACGACAGUAUAUGAUGUUGAAAUUCAUCAAAUGGAUGUGAAUACAACGUUCUUAAAUAGAGAAUUGAAGGGAGAAAUUUACAUAAAACAACCUAAGGGUUUUGUAGUUUCUGGUAAAGAAAAGAAAUUGUGCAAACUUGUUAAAACACUUUAUGGAUUAAAACAAGCACCCAAAUAGUGGUAUAUAAAAUUUGACCAAACCAUGUUGGCAAACGAUUUCAGGAUAAACGAAUGUGAUAAAUGUGUUUACAUUAAAGACACUCCAAAUCACAAAGUCAUUAUUUGUUUGUAUGUGGAUGACAUGUUGACCAUCAGUAGAGACAUUCUAACAUAAAUGCUAUGAAAUAAAUGCCUGAGGGCAAGUUUGAUUUGAAAGACCUUAGAGUUGCUGACGUAAUCUUAGGGAUAAGAAUUUUUAGAACUCCAUAGGUAUUGGCGUUGUCACAGUCGCAUUACAUUGAAAAGGUGUUUGACAAGUUCAAGCAUUUAGAUUUCAAUAUUGUUGAGACUACAUUAGACAUGAGUUUUGCAUUUCAAAAGAAUGAAGGUGAAAGUAACUCACAGUUGGACUAUGCAAGAGUGUUGAAAAGUUUGGUGUAUAUAUCAUAAAUUGUACGUGAGAAGACAUAGAAUGCACUAUUAGUAAAUUAAGUCGGUAAAAGACUACUCCUAAUCAAACUCAUUGGAUGGAUAUGAAAAAAGUUUUAGGGUAUCUAAAACAUACCCAAGACUAUGUUUUUAUUAUAACAAAUAUCCAGCGUAGAUGAGGUGACUUUUCAAAAUAAUGUAAUUUUUCGUGAACCAUUACUUUCUUUCUGAAGCACCACAUUGUGGCUAUAAAUGCCUGAAUUUUUCCUCUGAUAAAGGUAUGAAGAUUUGAAGGGAAAAACAUUUUCUUUUUCUUCUUAAAACUCUGGUAUGAUCUUCAAACUAUUGAGUGAGUUCGUUGUUCAGAAAAUUUGAGGUACCACUAUUUUUUGAAGAGAAUCAUUUUUCGUAGGGAGGAUAUAUUCCUUUAACCUCGAGUACUUGACUAGAAUAAUUUUUUUAAGGAUACAUCGUGAAUUCAGUGGAUUUGACUCAAUCGUUUCUGUCUUCAUCCCAUUUUCUUAAAGUUGGUUUUAUUAUUUUUCCAGAAAAAUAGUUUGAACAUUAUAUUGAUAGUUCUUCAUUUGUUUGAACUUGUGUUUGAAGUUUUUGAAACUUCAUUUUGAUAGGUUAUAAGUUGUUGAACUUGUGUUGAAGUUAUUGUGGAUUAAAUACAGAUUUUGUACAAAAAAUAAUACGAAAUAGCUGUGAAACCUUGGGGAGCGACCAACUAAAAGAAUUUGCACCGAAGUCGAUCCGAAAUCACUUUCAAAGUAAUGGCUUACCACGACACAAUAUUUUCAGUUCCAUAUUAAUAUUAGAGUAAUUUUUCCAACAAGUGGCAAAGUUUGUUAUUUAACUACAAAAUUUGUUCGUCAACAAAUCCUUGUUUUUCUUUUGUUGGGUAGUAUAUUUUGGUUUUAUCUAAUCAAUCUAUUGACAAGCUAAGCGCCUACGAAAACGAUGUAGAUGUUCUACCUACGGGGGCGGGGGGGUGUCUAUUACAAUUACAAAAAUAAACUGAAUGUUGAGUUUCAGUUCCACUAACACCUUGCAAAAGUGAAUUACCCAUGAAAGAUGGGGGUAUUAUAUCAAAAAAAAAAAACAUAUCUUUUGUUGUUUUCUAAUUUCUAACGAUAUAUUUUUGAUCCAUUGCUUUCCCAUAGUAUGCUAACUUGACAGCCACUUUUUUUUGCUUUUCUAUAUACGUGGAACACUUUUUUUUUCGUCAAAAUGCGAAUCAUAAUUUAAUCCGUCAAUUUUUACUAAAUUGUAAUUGUCUUUUUUUUUUUAUAAACAGAGAUAGCAGGUAACCCAAGAAAAAAAAAUGUCUAGCAGAACAUAUUACGCAUCCUCGAAACUACUAUGACCUAUAAAACUAGAUGAUAAAAAAAUUGGUUUUAUCAUACUGGCACACUUGUAGAUGUUCCAUAAUUCAUGUAAAUUUACUUCAGAUGAAUUGUAGUUUUUGUGUUCAAAUUCAUAUAAAAACGAAAUGAUUUAAGUUUCGUUCUUUGAAUAUCGCCAUACAGAAAUAAAAUAGAACAAGGGGAGUACUUUUCUAGGUCUCUAUUUGAUAUUUUAUCAGUAACAAUUUGAAAAUAGUCAUAACUCAUACACGUAGUAGUAGGUGGAAAUGUUUCUGAUUGAAUUCGGCAUAAAAAUAUUUUUAUGGAAAAAAAGUUUCUUCUAGUUUUGGUUUAUAAGUGGAUCAAUUUUUGUGGAAAAAAAGUUUCUGCUAGUUUUGGUUUCUAAGUGGAUCAUUCCCUAGCGCUCUACUAAAUGAUUUAAUUUUAUAUAAAGAAGAUGAAAUUAUAAGAAAAAAGAGAAAAAAGAAAAAGACUAGAGAUCUAAAGAAGGGAAAACUUAAAGUAUGUGGUAAUAACUUCUUUUAUUCAUCACAUAAUCUCUGCAUUUUGCAAGGAGAUUGAAACUGAGCAAACAUACACAAAGACAUAAAAGUAAAAAUACAAAUAUAAAUAGAGUACAAACAAUAUCACUAAUAACUUAGAGAACAUGAAGCUACAAAAGAACUUCGCCUCCCGUGGGGCUUAUUGUUUACUCUUUUUUCUUCUUUUUGGCAUUGCCUCUCGAAAUGGAAAAUGCCUUUCCUUGAGCUCAACAUUCUGCUUUUCCUGCAUAAGAAUAUAAUAUUGUCAAUGAGAACAUAUAGUAACUGAUUAAUAAACCUAAUAAGUAGGAGAUAGCAUAGGCUUAUAUAUUAAUGCGUUUGCAUGAAGAAAUUGUGCAACUUGUAUUGAUUUGCAUUUAGACAAAUCAUUUUUAAGAAUUUUAGUUUGGCUUAAUUACCUUAGAUUUGAUGUUGUUGUUUCUUAGUGAUGGUAGGGAGGAGGUGGAGACUUGUAAACCGGAGUUGGUGGUGGUGGAGACUUGUAUACUGGUGCAGGAUGGUGUGGUGUUGGUGAAGGAUGGUAUGGAUUCACUGGUGGUGGUGACUUGUAAACGGGUGUUGGUGGUGGUGGAGAUUUGUAUACUGGUGCAGGGUGGUAUGACUUCACUGGUGGUGGUGGUGACUGGUAAACGGGUGUUGGUGGUGGUGGAGACUUAUAAACUGGUGCAGGAUGAUAUGGCUUCACUGGUGAUGGUGGUGACUUGUAAACGGGUGUUGGUGGUGGUGGAGACUUAUAAAUUGGUGUGGGAUGAUAUGGUGUUGGUGGAGGAUAGUAUGGCCUCUUAGGUGGUGGUGGUGACUUGUAAACUGGAGUUGGUGGUGGUGGCGACUUGUACACUGGAGUGUGUGGCGGGUAGUAUGGCUUUUUGGGUGGUGGUGGGGACUUGUAAACUGGAGUUGGGGGUGGUGGAGACUUGUAAACUGGGGUGUGUGGAGGGUAGUGUGGUGGUGACUUGUAAACUGGAGUCGGGGGUGGUGGAGACUUGUAAACUGGGGUGUGUGGAGGAUAAUGUGGCUUCUUUGGUGGUGGUGGGGACUUGUAAACUGGAGUGUGUGGAGGAUAGUGUGGCUUCUUCGGUGGUGGUGGUGACUUGUAAACAGGAGUUGGUGGUGGUGGCGACUUGUGAACUGGUGCGGGAUGAUAAGGUGUUGGUGAAGGGUGGUAUGGCUUCUUAGGUGGUGGUGGAGAUUUGUAAACAGGAUGAUGAUGGUGUGGUGGAGGGGACUUAUAUACUGGGUGGUGAUGGUUUGGUGGAG
rnacentral:lncRNA from 1 species